CGGGCCCGCCCCUAGGGUGCUGGUCUGAGUGAGGGCGGCGGGGGCUGCCAUGGAGCCCCGGGCGGAGCGAGAGGCCGCUGCUGGGAGCCCCCCCAGCCUCUUCGAGCUGAGUGGGGCGGUGUUGGGACCCCGCAAGUGUCUGGGGGAGAGGCGCGGAUCCCAGGCCUGUUCCGAUGCAGCACGUGUGGUGGGACCUGAGUUAGCACUCCCUGGACAGAUACUCCAAGGCAUCCUGCCUUUGCUUAAUAUCUAUUACCUGGAAAGGAUUGAGGAAACUGCUGUGAAAAAAGGACUCUCAACCCAGCCCAUAUGGCACAAACUCUGGAACGAUGUGAUGAAAAUCAGACCACCCAAGUCAGAGAACAUAACAAAUUGGAGGAAGAAGUUCCUUGAAACUUUCUUCUCAAAUGUCCUGCAUGGAGUUUUGGAUGUUUCUUCAGAUCCGCGCCUGAGUGACCGUCGUUUUUCACCCCUGCUCCACAGCUCACGGCAUGUUACACAGCUCACCAUCUGUAACAUGCUGCAGGGGGUAGCAGAGCUCACUGCUGAGCGCAACCAAAGAGUGCUAGAAAACCUGGCUGGCUCACUGAGAACCUUGAAGUUCCGUCAUCUGCUGACCUCCGACCUGUCCAUUAGACAGUCACUAAGUUUGCUGCUUCAUCAUCUGAUCCACCAUGGAACUGUCAGCCAGGUGUCCAUGUGUUCCUGGCCAGUUCCUGACAAAGUACUUUUAGUCCUCAUUCUGAGUAUGAGUGCUGGGUUUUGGCACCCAGGUAAGACACUUAUGCACCAGGGCAGCCCUUGCAGUCUUUGCAGAGAGGAGUCUGAUGCCCAAGGCCUGCUAACUCAAGAGGAUGGUGCCCUGCUAGGGUCAAAUCAGUUGUGCUGCGACUCUACUGAGCAAUCAGAGACCAGCCAGUGGGGUGAUAGUGAGUCAAGAAGCAAGAAGGUCCAAACUGCUUCAGCCAAAGUGCUUCAAGAAGCUGAUCCAGACUCUCAAGCAUCUAUAGAACUGUCCAGGAGCAGUAGUGGCACUGUUAAAACUCCAGUGCUCUGUGGAUUAAGGAGCCACCCUUUGCAAAACCUAGCAUGUCAAGAUGUAAGCUGCAAGGUGCCCCCUGAGUAUUACAACAUUAAAGGAGAGUCUUCUCCUUCUCUACCAAAAAGGUCUUCGGUUGGCCCCGCUUUCCAAAAGCCCUAUAGGUGGUUUAAGACUGCAGUGGGGAGGAAGCGCCGCUGCCCCAGGAGAAACCGCAGAGCUCGUGCAGACCCGGAAGAUCUUUAUGAUUUUGUCUUCGCCGUUGCUAGGGAGGAGGAGGAGACGGCAGAGUCGCUCUAUGAAAGCAAUGCCCAGGAGAGGGAAAGCAUCGAUGGUUGGGCCCCUUCCCCAGCAGACACUCCUAGCUUUGAGGGUGUGGGCUGCACGGAAGGAGGAUCUGUCGGAAUCCUUCCUCUGAAAUCGACUUGCCGCUUCCGAAGUGUCUCCACGCUGGAAUUGUUCUCCAUCCCUCUGACUGGGGACACCUGUCGGGCUUUGGGGAACCUGCUGAGCUCUUGGGCAUCUUUAGAAAAGCUGGUCCUGUCUUACAAUGGCCUGGGCGCUAAUAUCUUCUGCAUCCUGUCUGGGCUCCGGGCCCUCUCUCACCGCAGAGACUGCAGCCUCCACGUGGUGCGUGUGAGUGACGUGUUCUCACACAUCCCUUCAGUGGAGCUUGUUCGGUCAAUCCUGACUGCCUUCCCCCGCCUUCACACUCUCUCGGUCAGCUUUGAUCUCAAAAACCAGCUGGAGGGGAACAGGCCAGAAGGGCAUUCGAGCUUGGAGGCAGAAAUUCCAGAGAGCUGCCUGGAACAGUUAGAGAUCCGAUUCCCCAGAGAACCUCUGCAGACCAGUCUCCUUUUGCCUGUGUUGAAAGCCUCAAGGUCUCUCCAGCAGUUGUCCCUGGACAGUGCUACCAUUUCCUGUCCCCUGGAGUUUGGGCUCCUUCUGCAGGCACUCAAAGAGUGUAAUCCAGGCCUGAAGAGACUGAGCUUCCAUGAUGUGAACCUUGCUGACUACCAGAAGGAAGUUCUCCUCCUGCUGCAAGACCCUGUCCUUCAAGAAAUUACAUUUUCCUUUUGUCGGCUGUUUGAAAGCUGCACCACUGAGUUUCUAGCCGACAUCAUCCAAAUAGUGAAGAGAAAUUCAACUCUGAAGAGCCUCAAAUUGCCUGGAAACAGACUUGGGAAUCACAGGUUGGUUGCCUUGGCUGACAUUUUCUCUGAAGAUUCAUCCUCUUCCAUCUGCCAGUUGGAUGUCAGCUCAAAUUGCAUCAAGCCGGAUGGGCUCCUGGAGUUUGCAAAGAAGCUGGAGAGCCACAUCCUGCAGAGAGGCGGGCAGAUCAAGUUUACCCACCUCCGCCUCUUUCAGAACUGGUUGGACCAAGAUGCUGCAACAGCUCAAGAGGCGCUUCGGCGGCUCAGAGCUGUGUGCAGCGUGGUCAGCAACACAUGGGACUCUUCGCAGGCCUUUGCUGACUACAUUAGUGUGAUGUAAUGAGCACCCAGGAACUGCUGUAAAAUCGAUAGCUUGAAAUAAAGUUGUACAGAACGGUGCUCCCACUGACUCUUCGGCAUUGCUGGUCACACUGUGUGCAGGAGCAGGCCUAACAAAGUAGAGGCUCUGACACCCCUCGCCUCCAAGCAAGACUCUGAGGACUUUAAGCUGCAGUUGAAUGGUUAUUAAUGUCUGCUGGAAUCUUGCAGUUACUGAGCAUUCGAGGAGCAGCUCUGGCUCAAUCUUUCAUUUUGUGCUUCGAACCCAAACUACCCUGAACCCACUCACCCUCUCACAUUUGUGACUAGAAAAUAAAAAGUUAAACCAAGCCAAUGCACAGGCCCUUCUUGGCAAAUAAAGAGCUCCCCAUUGCAAGAGACACUUCAGUACAACAAAAAGCUUUUGCUUGCAACCAUUUUACCCUUGGAGGGAAGUCCUUCCUUAGGCCCUGCUUUCCUUAACUUGUAUUUAUUUAAUAC